rnacentral:rRNA from 1 species
UACGGAAGGCAGCAGGGGGGAAUAUUGCACAAUGGGCGCAAAGCCUGAUGCAGCCAUGCCGCGUGUAUGAAGAAGGCCUUCGGGUUGUAAAGUACUUUCAGUCGUGAGGAAGGUGUUAAGAUUAAUAACCUUAGCAAUUGACGUUAGCGACAGAAGAAGCACCGGCUAACUCCGUGCCAGCAGCCGCGGUAAUACGGAGGGUGCGAGCGUUAAUCGGAAUUACUGGGCGUAAAGGGCACGCAGGCGGUUAAUUAAGUUGGAUGUGAAAUCCCCGGGCUUAACCUGGGAAUGGCAUUCAAGACUGGUUAGCUAGAGUCUUGUAGAGGGGGUAGAAUUCCAUGUGUAGCGGUGAAAUGCGUAGAGAUGUGGAGGAAUACCGGUGGCGAAGGCGGCCCCUGGACAAAGACUGACGCUCAUGUGCG